GCUGUCCCCUCCCCCAAAAUGGACCCCCCCUCCCCUCCCCUCCCCUCAAAUCCAGCACCUCUCCUGCUUCAGGGCGAACUCCAACAUCUUGAUGCGCCGCACCAAAUCCGUCUUCAGGUUCUCCUGGCCUUUCCGUUCGCCCUGCAGGAAGGCCAGCUGCGCCUGGGGGGGGACAAUUUGGGGACAAUUUGGGGACAACGUUGGGGACAACGCGACACCCGGGUGAGGACAGCAUGGGGAUAAAGGGGGGAGGGGGGUAAAGGGGACGGCGGUGUCCCCAGGGUUCGGUUAUGGUGCUUUGGUGACAGCGCUGCGCAGAUAUUGGGGACAGCAGUGUCCCCAAGUGUCACCUCCUGGUGACAGCAGUGUCCCCAGGGUGCCAUUGCUGUCCUGUGGGUGCCACAGGUGACAGCAGUGUCCCCAAGUGCCACCUCACAGGGGACAGCAGUGUCCCCAAGUGUCACCUCCAAGUGACAGCAGUGUCCCCAAGUGCCACCUCUAGGUGACAGCAGUGUCCCCAAGUGCCACCUCCAGGUGACAGCAGUGUCCCCAAGGCGCCAAUGCUGUCAUGUGGGAGCCAGAGGUGACAGCAGUGUCCCCAAGUGCCACCUCAUGGGUGACAGCAGUGUCCCCAAGGUGCCAUUGCUGUCCAUGGGUGCCAGAGGUGACAGCAGUGUCCCCAAGCACCACCUCAUGGGGGACAGCAGUGUCCCCAGGGUGCCAUAGCUGUCCUGUGGGUGCCAGAGGUGACAGCAGUGUCCCCAAGUGCCACCGCAUGGGGACAGCAGUGUCCCCAAGGCGCCAUUGCUGCCCCACAUCCCCACCAGUUCCCAAGACCCCACAUGUUUACCCACACCCCCAUAUCUCCAUAUCUGCCCCACAUCCCACAUCUGCCCCACAUCCCACAUCUGCCCCACAUCCCACAUCUGCCCCCACGCCCCCCAUCUGCCCCACAUCCCUUCUUCCCCCCAUCUGCCCCACAUCCCCACGUGUUCCCACAACCCCAAAUCUUUACCCACACCCACAU
rnacentral:lncRNA from 1 species